UCCUGCAUCCGAAAGUGAUCAUAGGCUGCCUGUGCCUAGGUCAUUGAUAGUGCAGGGAGAGGAACGCUGAAAGAGGUUGUCCCCGUGUUUGGAGGGUCCACCCUAUCCCAUCCGAACCCUGAAGCUUUCACACAACUCCUGUUGCUCUCCUGCCAGCCCUUGAGGAGUCCGGCGCUUGCUUGGCUGCCACAUGAAAGAUUGUCAGCUGACCUCUGUCCUGUGUGCCCAGUGGCCCCAGGUGACGUGUCUUCAAGAAGAGGCUGAGCUGCGGUGCUUGUAAGGUCUCAGCCUUAGAUCCAAGGACAGUCCAAGGAAGUCCUAAGACCAUGGAGUUGGUGAUCUGGGAUCUGGGUUUGCUGAUAUUUCUCACCGUGAAUCUCUUGGUGGUGUUUGUGGGCACGAGAGGGGCAGAGAAUGGAGAGUGAGGCUACCACAUGAAGCGUCACCAGAGCUGCUCCCUGCUGCCUGCUCAGAGCACCCCGGAUCCACUGUUCAAUCUGCACAAGAUUCGGGGUCCAGACAUGGGAGACUUCAGCUGCCUCAGAGGACCGUGGACAGGGAAGGCCAGCCUCGCAUCCCUCUGUCCAUGCCUGGAAUGACUUUAAUAACCAAGAGUUUUAUUUUUGAAUUUGUAGCUGUCGUUCACUUUUUACCCACCCAUUCAAUAAACCUUACAGAAUU
rnacentral:lncRNA from 1 species